CCUACGGGAGGCAGCAGUAGGGAAUUUUCGUCAAUGGGCGCAAGCCUGAACGAGCGAUGCCGCGUGAGUGAAGAAGGCCUUCGGGUCGUAAAGCUCUGUUGCGGGGGAAAAAAGGCAGCAUCAGGAAAUGGGUGCUGACUGAUGGUGCCCCGCCAGAAAGUCACGGCUAACUACGUGCCAGCAGCCGCGGGAAUACGUAGGUGGCGAGCGUUAUCCGGAAGGAUUGGGCGUAAAGGGUGAGCAGGCGGUCCUGCAAGUCUGGAGUGAAACGCAUGAGCUCAACUCAUGCAUGGCUUUGGAAACUGGAGGACUGGAGAGCAGGAGAGGGCGGUGGAACGCAAUGUGUAGCGGUAAAAUGCGUAGAUAUAUGGAAGAACACCAGUGGCGAAGGCGGCCGCCUGGCCUGUUGCUGACGCUGAGGCACGAAAGCGUGGGGAGCAAAUAGGAUUAGAUACCCUUGUAGUC
rnacentral:rRNA from 1 species